UACGUAGGUGGCAAGCGUUGUCCGGAUUUACUGGGCGUAAAGAGCGCGCAGGCGGUCGUUCAAGUCGCGUGUGAAAGCCCCCGGCUCAACUGGGGAGGGUCACGCGAUACUGAUCGACUCGAAGGCAGGAGAGGGUAGUGGAAUUCCCGGUGUAGUGGUGAAAUGCGUAGAUAUCGGGAGGAACACCAGUGGCGAAGGCGGCUUUCUGGUCUGUAACUGACGCUGAGGCGCGAAAGCGUGGGGAGCAAACAGG
rnacentral:rRNA from 1 species